UUUAAGGGUAAAAUUCAUUUCUGUUAAAAGAAAAAAGGCAAAAGUUGGCAACUUAGGUACUGAUUUUUUUUUUUGAUAUCUUUGCCAUAGGGAAACUUAAUUUUUUCAUGUGUGGUAAGUAAGUAUAUGUGAAUUAGUUUAGUAGCUACUGCCAUUCAUUUCCCCAUUCAUACAGUACUAAUUCAAAAGUGUUACGAUUUAACUAACGCCCUGUACUGUAUUUACUGAGAAGGGGUCUUUGUUUCCUGUUCUAAUAUAUUAUUGAUCUUUCAGGCCCACAGCAGCAGAACUUUUAAAAUGCAAAUUUUUCCAGAAAGCCAAGAAUAGAGAAUACCUGAUUGAAAAGCUUCUCACUAGAACACCUAAUAUUGCACAAAGAGC